rnacentral:lncRNA from 1 species
UUCUAAACAUUUCAGAUCCUCAGGUUCUGAAUUAUCUCUCUCUUGAGACUGACUAUGUCAAAGAUGCAUUCACCCAUUUAUUUUAUUUUAAGUAACAAUUUUGCUUCAGUAAUUUGUUGCAGUUAUCUGUUAGCAUCCAUUUCUUCUGCCUAAAAAACCAGGAAGACACAUCAGACAGACCGACUUGCAGCACCUGAUCCCAUGCGGCCCAAGUAGAGACUCCCUCGAAUGACGUCCUUUGGAUCCCAGAGCGUAUGCACUGGUCGGAAGCUGAAACAAUGUCUAUAGACAGCUUUUUCACAGUUACCUCAUCACUGAAAAGAAUGACACAGAGGAAGAACACUAGAAACACUGUGCAGACAAGUUCUGCUGAGGAACUUAAGCCAGCCGAGACUUCCUUGGUUCUAAACUGAAGAUGCCUGCAGCCUCCGCUCCCUACAGGUAUCUGUAGAUAAUGAGGUAAGCUCAGACGCAUUUCUAGGACAAUAAUUUCUGAAUUUGCUUGUUAUGUAGGUCUACUCAUUCAUGUGAAAAUCUAGUAUAACUCCAGAACUUUUUAAAAUGGCAACUUUCAAUGUUGUGUAAAGUGAACACUGGUGACAGAACCAGUAAAACCCAAGUAUUGCAUAGCACUAUUUAGAACCAGUUACUCACAUUUCUCCUGAAUGCCUUCAGAUAAGGUACAGAAGUGGAUGACUGCAAGCCUGAGGUUACAGAAAGAGGCACACAAAGGCUGACCAAGCCGAUACAAGACCCAGAAGAAUUGACAAGUUAUGGCACCUAGAACAGAAAACUGUCCUUAACCCCAGUAGCCAGUUUGCCUCUAUGAAAGUGAAAUUCAGUCUAUGUUCUCACAUGUUUGCGCACACAAACUGAGAUGUGAUUCUGUUGCUUAUAGGCCAGAAAUGAGCUACCAGCACAUGAUGAAAAUGGAUUUCAUCGCCGUGCAACUCUUGUUCGCCUGCAAAUCACCACAGCUGGUGAUGCUGCAGAACUAAAGAAUUUUUUCUUUACCAACUGUGGUGUAGCUCCCUGCUAGCUUUCAGUGACUGACGAGAUUUAGCAUGUGACAAAGACUUCUUAGAGCAAGAUACAAUGAAAAGCCUGUUAAUUAGAUGGCUUUCUUUAGCCCCCUUCAGCAACCUUUGUACCAAUUUCGAGUCACCUACCUGAACAUCAGGCCCACGUAAGACAGCUCAAUGUCUCUUGAGACAUGCUGUGGAGGUGUACAGA